CGUUUCUCUGCGCUCUGUGUGUGGUUCUGUGAUUUUAACACAACCCAACUACCGUGUUGUUUCUACCCACACUCUAUGUUUAACAUGGAGAUCACGAGCAUCUUCCACCUCUUCUCAUAAUUAAAAGCAUCACCACACAGAUCUGUUUGACACACUGGAUGAUGGCCUCGGGGGCCCCGGAGAUGGUGACCGCCCGCUCGGUGGAGUUGGGGAGCAUGUCCCCUGCAACCUGUACCUGAGCCCCUGUGGACUGGAGG